AAUAUUGCGCAAUGGGCGAAAGCCUGACGCAGCAACGCCGCGUGAGGGAUGACGGCUUUCGGGUUGUAAACCUCUUUCAGUGAUGACGAAAAUGACGGUAGUCACAGAAGAAGCUCCGGCCAACUACGUGCCAGCAGCCGCGGUAACACGUAGGGAGCGAGCGUUGUCCGGAUUUAUUGGGCGUAAAGAGCUCGUAGGCGGUUUCGUAAGUCGGAUGUGAAAACUCAGGGCUCAACCCUGAGGCGCCAUCUGAUACUGCGAUGACUAGAGUCCGGUAGAGGAGCAUGGAAUUCCUGGUGUAGCGGUGGAAUGCGCAGAUAUCAGGAGGAACACCAACGGCGAAGGCAGUGCUCUGGGCCGGUACUGACGCUGAGGAGCGAAAGCAUGGGGAGCAAACAGGAUUAGAUACCCUGGUAGUCCAUGCCGUA
rnacentral:rRNA from 1 species